rnacentral:sRNA from 1 species
UAUUCUGCCCCACGGGGAAGGAUGAGAAGCUUCGACUAAGGUUCGACUCGAGCGAAGCGAGAGAACGUUGCCGCAGGCAACGGCCCGAAGGACGAGGCGCUUUAGCGCCGAGUAAUCCUUCCCCCACCACCA